GGACAAGGAGCUGUCACGUGGCUGUCCCUCUCCUCCCUACGGAAGUGAAUGCAGAAAACAAACCAGAGUUCUGGAGAAGAGGAGAUUUAACAGAGGGGGAGAGGGAUACAGUAGCAAGCAGGUAGAAAGGAUUGUUUUCUCAGUAGCACCUGUGUGAGUUUAGCAUUUUCUUUCUCACCUCUUCUUGGGGCAUUAGCAAUGACUGGGUGCUACACCCAUACCGUGGUCAGGGGUGUGCCCUCCUCCCUGGCACAGGAGGCGGAUGGGAAGAUCGAACUGGCAAGAGCACAAAGGGAGAGUGGUGUGUACUGUGGCAUUCUGAGGCAGAAGCUGGGCUUGCAGGUAGUGGAACUUCCCCCUAAUGAGCACCUGGUCCCCGAUUCCUGUUCAGAGGUGUCCAAGAUUGGGGGCUGUCUGACAGCCUGCUCUAUACUAAUAAGCCGCAAAGUGGAGAUAUAAACUCAACAUUUCGGCCAGGCCAAGGGAGACCUGCAUAG